AACGCACAUUGCACCUUUUGGUAUUCCGAAAGGUAUGCUUGUUCGAGCGUCGUUUAAACAAUAUCAAUUUAAUUAUUGAAUGUAUUGAGUGCUUUUUCUCUUUCCUUUGAGACACUCCAAAAUAAUUGAGCGAUCUUGACUAGAUUUAAUUGACGCAUUAAAAUAACUAUCGUCAGUAGAAGAAGUCAACUGGUCUGCCAAAUAAAACCUUUGCCGAUUAAUUGUUAAUUCAAUCAAUUUUCAAAAACCCCAUUUUAUUAUCGACCUCGAAUCAAGUAGGAUUACCCGCUGAACUUAA
rnacentral:misc_RNA from 1 species